GCCCUCGUAGCUCACUUGGCAGAGCAGCCGCCUUGUAAGCGGCAGGUAACCGGUUCGAACCCGGUCGAGGGUU
rnacentral:tRNA from 1 species